CCGUCGAUAGCUCAGUUGGUAGAGCGGUGGACUGUAGUGGUGUGUUAGUCUGUAGUUAUCCAUAGGUCGCUGGUUCAAAUCCGGCUCGACGGA
rnacentral:tRNA from 1 species